rnacentral:ncRNA from 1 species
AACCGGGGACGACCCCGGCUUCUUCUCUGUCACGUCCGGGACGGCCCGG